AGAGGGGCAUGUGCCUUUUCUGCACACUCGGUAUAGACGCGCGCAAACGGUCAGUAGAGGGGCAUGUGCCUUU
rnacentral:pre_miRNA from 1 species